UAAUGUUUCUAAUUUCAUAAUCCAGGUCCUCUCGGCUCGGGUUCUCUGUGUGGCAUUCCAGCUAGGGUCCAUCUGGAUGAUCGUGGCCCGGACAGACGACCAUCCAUGGGCCAGAAAAUGGCUGACCAGAGGGUGACCGCUGGCCUGGAAUAGGUGGUCACAAAGGGGAGAACCUCUGCCGUGUCUAAUGGCCUUGUCUCCAGGAAGGUGCUGAGGGCCUUACGCCGGAAGGAGCGUGAAUAUCCCCUGGUGGCCAGAGCCCUGAAGAGCGUCUUUGUGGCCGCCAUAAAAUCACUCUUAUGAGUGCAUAUUCUGUGGAACCGAAGUAAUUGGGAUUUCAGUAUGCCCCUAUAUGUGUGUUUUGGGUGGUGACUGUUUUUAAAGAGCAGAGCAUGGGUGUCUGUUUCCUUGAAGAAGACUUUAAUAUCUAAUUUGUUAGUCUGUUUGAAGUUUGUUCCUUUAUAGGUGGUGGUGUCCAAGAAGUCGACUGACGUGGUGCUGGUGGUGGACUUCAGUGUGAUGGACGGGUUGUGGUUAUUCAGGGUUGCCAGGGCGGAGGUCUCCCAUUCAGCCAUGAAAAUGUUGGCAUACGCCGGUGCAAAUUUCUUGCCCAUAGCCGUGCCUUUUAUUUGCAAAUAAAAUUUGUUGUCAAAUUCAAAAUCAUUCCUCCUCAGGUUAAUGGCAAGGAGUUGUAAUAAUUCCUUAUCUGGUCUUUUUUUAUCUGGAAAUUUUGU